rnacentral:rRNA from 1 species
ACGGGAAACCCGCACAAGCGGUGGAGUAUGUUGUUUAAUUCGAAGAUACACGAAGAACCUUACCAGGUCUUGACAUACCAUUGACAGGCGCAGAGAUGUGCUCUCCUUCGGGCAAUGGAUACAGGUGGUGCAUGGUUGUCGUCAGCUCGUGCCGUGAGGUGUUGGGUUAAGUCCCGCAACGAGCGCAACCCUCAUUGUUAGUUACUACCAUUCAGUUGAGGACUCUAAUGAGACUGCCAACGAUAAGUUGGAGGAAGGUGGGGAUGACGUCAAAUCAUCAUGCCCUUUAUGACCUGGGCUACAAACGUACUACAAUGGCCAAUACAGAGCGACGCGAAGCCGCGAGGUGGAGCAAAUCGCAGAAAAUCGCCCUCAGUUCGGAUUGGAGUCUGAAACCCGACUCCAUGAAGGUGGAAUCGCUAGUAAUCGCGCAUCAGCAUGGCGCGGUCGAAUACGUUCCCGGGCCUU